GCCCGCACUCGCUCCCCCACCCACCCGCGCAGCUCUCUUCCCCGACCCCUUCCUUCCCCGUCUGCUCGAGCCCCCGCCGCCAACUGCUACUCCUCCACCGCCUCGCCUCUUCCUCCUCCUUGCCGUCCCUUCGCUUGCACGCAGGCCAUCGUGGCCACGCGCUUCGCGGGCGAACCCGAUCUCCACCGCCUGCUCCGGGACAACGCCUCUUGAGUGAAGGAGGAUGCCCAAACCAUGGUCGAGCCAACGGUGGGGGCCGGGUCAAGGCUGCGGUUGGCGGCCUGGAUGCAGGCGAUGGUGGCGGACGUUGGGGGUCUGGCGGGCGUGGCGGCCGACGGGAUCUGCCAGACAUGUAGGCAGCUGGAAGGGCAGCAGCGGUCUGUGGGGCGUCGACCGGUCCAGCAGCCGCCUUGAUGGAGAAGGGCCAUGCAGGAUUCGUGCCCCUGCACAUCCAGGUUCUUCUCCGUCACCUAUCCCUUCCUCCCUCUCCUUUCCACUAGGUAUACCCAUCCAGCAGUAAAAGAAGUGGCCCCAAUUAGUACAUGGUUCGUUUUGGAUUUUGGAUCUGCAACAUUUAGGAGGCUGGUCUGGAUUAGGUCCGUUUCUUGGAGUAUGACAAGCUGAUGGUGAUCCUCACGCUGACAAAAUAAUGGAACAUUUAGUGCUGGUGCUUCUGAAGGGCUUUUAUCUUGAGCUGCUCAUACUACUAUGACAAGGUGGAAAGUCAAGUGCUUAUUGAUCAAAGAAGAAGAAGCAUAAUAAGUGUGCACUUUCAGAGUUUCAGAGUGGGGUUGCUUCCUCUGCCCCCUUCAUGUGGUUUAGGGCUUUUAUCUUGAGCUGCUCACUACUAUGACAAGGUGGAAAGUCAACUGCUUAUUGAUCGAAGAAGAAGAAGCAUAAUAAGUGUGCACUUUCAGAGUUCCGGAGUGGGGUUGCUUCCUCCGCGCCCUUCAUAUGGUUGAGGGCUUUUAUCUUGAGCUGCUCAUACUACUAUGACAAGGUGGAAAGUCAAGUGCUUAUUGAUCGAAGAAGAAGAAGCAUAAUAAGUGUGCACUUUCAGACUUUCAGAGUGGGGUUGCUUCCUCCGCGCCCUUCAUAUGGUUGAGAAACCUUAGACCUUGUUCACUGGGUUUCUUCUUCCUUUUCCUGGGCCAUAGCAACACAUUUGCAACAGCACACCAGACUCAAUUUAGUUGACUAGCAACAGAGCAAAGGUGUGGUAAUUCCCAAUCUGACAAUUAAUUGCAUGCAUUUUCCUAUCUUCAAGGGGCCACUCUUUGAUUCAGAGUAAAAUCAGCUUCUUCACCUAUGGAGGAGGUAGAUACUGACAGAGUGUAUGACAAGGUGUUCUCUAGGUUCUGCAUCAUCAGUGUGCAGGUCUAGAUUCUGCAACAUUGGUGACCAGUUGUUCUCUAGGAUUCUGCAGCGUCAUCCUCAGGAAGAGAAGGGAGGGGAGGACGAGGUGAAGAGAGGAGGGAGAGGGAGACGGCGAGCAUAUGGAGAAGCGCCACAAGGAGCAGACCUGGACAUCGGCGGCAACAAGGCCAUGCCCUCAUCCACCUCCGUGCGGGCACCCUGAGAAUUCCAUCAGACUUGGCCAAAAAUACCAAAAUCUCAGCAUAAACAUAUCACUUGUACAUAUGUUUAAGGCUGAUGCACCUGUCUAAAUGAAGCUACACAAGUCUGGUCUACGCUAAAUGAAUGUUGGUGUUCUAGAUCUGGCUGUAUCUGCAGUGCACGAGUGUGUCGACGAGAAGGAGCAACAACUCCUUGGACAAUGGUAUGGCCUAAUGAUUUAUGUUUGUUUGCUAACAUAGUGCUAAUGGGUGUGAAAAUUAAGGUUCAGCCGCGUCUGCGGCAGCGGCGGGGACCUCUGCCCGUGGUCUCCAUCUUGCUGCUCAUCCUCUUUUCUAGGUAUAGACAACAUAGUCAGAUCGUCAGAUCGGUCAGCAAUCUGACAGUAAAUAGCCAUUCCGUUUAUAGUUAGCUGUUGCAGAUUGUUUAUAUAAUUAUCCCUGGUUCUAUUACUCUUUUGUUUAGGUACAUUGACUAAUAAUGAAAUUGCAACUGUAUGGAGUAAAGCCAAUUUAUUCUUUUGGAACUAAACUCGUUCCAAGUUUUGUUUCACUUUUCAAGGAUGAGUAUCUUUACUUUGAAAAUGAACUCGUCAUAUUUCUAUUGGAAAUGAAGUGAUGUUGCUUCCCAGUGGCUGGGCGUGACCAUGCUCUGCCUCCGCUGGUGAGAGCCGUGAGGAGUCAGAGAGGGAGAUUGAGGAGGAGGAAGAUGACACUCCCCAAGGCCAAGCUAUGUCAGGCUGCACCAGCAAGGUGAGCCCCAUCACUCUGCGUUUAUUUCUUCAGAUCAUGCAGCAGCAAUGUUACCGAGGAAUCGAUGCUUUACAUAAUUGAUCAGUUAACUGGUAAUAUAUCUAUAGAAUAGCCAAGCAAAAAACAUUGCGUUUCCUAGAUGUUCCAUACGAUAUUAAAGUUGGAACCAGGCUAAUAGACAAACUGUAUAUCCGAUUAUGCUAGAAAAAGGAGAAUAGAAAGUUUACUUUUAUGAUGGUAGGAUGUCUUAGUUUUGUUUCCUAUGUUCUCUCUCAAAAAAGAAAUCUGGGAUACACCAUCAGUAUCAACACCGGUAAAAAGAAUCCAAUCAAAAUAUGAUGUUUUUCCCUUGGCUAUAUGUUUAUUUGAAGGAAACCAUUCAAUUCUCAGUGAUCUUUCUUUAUGCGACGUGGUGCCAUUUUUCCUAAUGUGCCUAUAGAAGUGAUUUAUCAGGUGUUUUGGUUUAUUAUCUUAUAAGGGAGUCCCAAAGUUUUUUGGAUUAUGAAUUCUCUGGUCAGAAUCGGUUGUUUUUUCCCCUUGUGUUCAUUUAUUUCUCAGAUUGCAGAACUGACGAGUGUAGACUAAUUAAGUUGAUGAUCUACAUGUGUUGCUCCUCUCCCCUGAUGUGUAGUGCAACUAUAAAUAGGGAGAGAAUUGCGUGAGGAGAGCUCUCUUGGCUCUUGCUACUGUUCUGAGCUCACUCUUUGACUAAUCUAAAUGCUCUCUCUGCCCACUGAUCGAUCAAGGAUGGCACUGAAAUAUCAGCAAGGACCAGCACAAAAAGAAAGGGAGAAUAAAUGGGACCAAUUAACUUACUUCUGUUUAAGAGUACACUACUUUUGACUUUGGAGUCGCACUGGUGAAUGGGGCGUCGCAUGGUCUAUGCUGGAGGUGUUCACAUAUAACAAGUUCACUAUUUGUUCCAUUGGUCAGUUGUAUAAUCUGUGGGCGUAUUUAAGUUGAACUAUGCUCCUUCCUUGGUAUUUGGAGACAAGAUACUGGCAGUUUUUAUGUUAUCAGACUGUUUAUUAGUUAUCUGUAGUUUUAUAACAAUCUCCAUUGUCAAUGGUAGUUCAGAUUCUUCA